rnacentral:snRNA from 1 species
GCCUUUGGGCAUUUGGUCAAUUUGAAACGAUACAGAGAAGAUUAGCAUGGCCGUAUGUCAAACUCUCCCCCCCAGCUACCCUUUCGCUAACGAUCACAUAGCCUGCACUAAGGAUGACACGCAUAAUCAAAGAGAAGCAUCAAGUUUUU